rnacentral:rRNA from 1 species
CUGACCGUGCAAAGGUAGCGUAAUCACUUGUCUUUUAAAUGAAGACCUGUAUGAAUGGCAUCACGAGGGCUUAGCUGUCUCCCAUCUCCAGUCAAUGAAAUUGACUUCCCCGUGCAGAGGCGGGGAUAAAUACAUAAGACGAGAAGACCCUAUGGAGCUUUAGACCUAAAGUAAUUCAUGUUUAAUAUACUAUGAUAACAGUGAAAACUUAGUGAUACUUACUGAAGUGUCUUUGGUUGGGGCGACCGCGGGGUAAAACACAACCCCCAUGUGGACUGGGGAUAUUAUCCCUAAUACUCAGAGCCUCUACUCCAAGUAACAGAAAUUCUGACUUUUCUGAUCCGGUAUAACCGAUCAACGAACCGAGUUACCCUAGGGAUAACAGCGCAAUCCCCUCUCAGAGCCCAUAUCGACGAGGGGGUUUACGACCUCGAUGUUGGAUCAGGACAUCCUAAUGGUGCAGCCGCUAUUAAGGGUUCGUUGUUCAACGAUUAAAGUCCUACGUGAUCUGAGUUCAGACCGGAG